rnacentral:rRNA from 1 species
AUUGAACGCUGGCGGCAGGCCUAACACAUGCAAGUCGAACGAGUGGCGGACGGGUGAGUAAUGUCUGGGAACCUGCCUGGUGGAGGGGGAUAACUACUGGAAACGGUAGCUAAUACCGCAUACCAUCAGAUGUGCCCAGAUGGGAUUAGCUAGUUGGUGGGGUAACGGCUCACCAAGGCGACGAUCCAUAGCUGGUCUGAGAGGAGGACCAGCCACACUGGAACUGAGAAACGGUCCAUACUCCUACGGGAGGCAGCAGUGGGGAAUAUUGGACAAUGGGAGCAAGCCUGAUGCAGCCAUGCCGCGUGUAUGAAGAAGGCCUUCGGGUUGUAAAGUACUUUUGGCAGGGAGGCGUUACCCGCAGAAGAAGCACCGGCUAACUCCGUGCCAGCAGCCGCGGUAAUUC